GCCGAAGUGGUGAAAUUGGUAUACACGUACGGUUCAGAGCCGUAUAGGGAAACCUGUGUGGGUUCAAGUCCCACCUUCGGCA
rnacentral:tRNA from 1 species